AACCAAAACUUGCCUCCAAGCCUGAAAUUCAAAAAUAAGCUCCUGCUUUGAGGCCACUGGGAGCAACAUCCAAGGGGUUGGAGAGCAACAUGUUGCUCACGAGCUACUGGUUGGGGAUCACUGCGCUAAUGGCUUUGCUUUGCCAGUGCUGUAGACUAUUCAGUUAAUUUUAAUUUCUUAAAAGGGUUAUAAGAAGUGUUAGACAACAGCAGCUUAAGGUGGCCAUAGACGUAACAAUUAUGAUCUUUCUUGGAAAAGAUAUUUCCAAGAAAGAUCACUUGUUUCAAUACACACUUGUAGAGCUGAAUUGUCAGAUAUACAGACUGAAACAAUAGAAUUCUACCUGUACCUGACGAUUCAGCAUUAACAAUGGCCGAUCAAAAUUUUCCGUCCAGCCCGAUUGACGAGCCGACCGAUAUUCAAGUCUUCUGCCGAUAUCGGUCGUCUCUUUUCCCACCAUCCACGCGCCGAAUAUCGUACAAAAAUUUGUUUCGUACGAUAUUUAUCUGUGAGUCUAUGGCCACCUUUUGGCUUGUUAAAAUUACCAGCUGUAAAGGGAACACCGUCAUAGGGCCUAGGGUAAAAAAAGCAUAAUGUAGCUCUAAAUGUCCUGUAUACUGUCCAUACCAUUCUAGCUGUACUGCAGGGAGAUGCAUGGGGAUUGGCUUGAGACGCUUGCAAUAGGGAUUUCUCAAGCAACACUAGUUGAGUAAGAAACCCAUAGAGGGUUACAUAAUAAAUGGCAUUGCAUUUGCCCAGGAGCAGUAACUCAUAGCAAUUAGAAUUUACCAGUCACACAAACCUCUUAUUGUUGCUAUGGGUUGCUGCUACUGGGCAAACUUUGUGUCUUUUAUUACACAUGAGGUAAUAGUCUGAGUCUGGUCCUGGACUAUGACGUUGGUUAGAUUUAGGGCAGAGAUACACGUGGAGAUUCGGGAGAUUGUCUUUCGGCAACAAAUCGCCUCUUCUUCGGGCGACUAAUCUCCCUGAACUGCCUUCCCGUAGGCAAGAAUCUAAAUCGCCAGUCGUUUUCCGAAGAUGCCUGAAGUUUUCUUGUGAGGCAACUUUGGGCGAAUUCGGAAAAUGAAGGGAUCCGAGUGCUAUCAAGCCAGCAAUUUAGAUUGUAGCCAGCGGGAAGACAGUUCGGGGAGAUAAUUCGCCCGAGGAAGAGUCGAUCUGUCGCCAAGACGACUAAAUCUCCCCAAAUCUCCACGUGUGUGUCUGCCCUUAGGUAACUGCCAUGAAUCUUUCCCUAAAAUCGUCAACUUGCUGCUUGCUUUUUCUCCUCCUCCUAAAUCGCUUAUAUCUAACCAGAGAUGGAUAGUCGUGCUGGGGUGACUUUAAAAUGCCAUUGAAGCAGAUGAGUAAAAGGGGGAAAAUAAACAAAUGAAGACUUGGAAUGUUAAGGUGUGACGACACACACUGGCAGCAGUUGCUCAAAAUGUACUGGCUACUUAUGUGUCGUAAGUAAAAUGACUCCGGUGAUCUUAAAUAGCGACUAAAUACAGUUCCUGACAUUUACUCCAUUUCUAUAUUCUGAGGGAACAAAAAUAAGUUUGUCAAACUCUGUUGUCCCUAAAAAUGACUGAGCGGUAAAUCUGAUUUAUCAGAUCUUAGGGGGAAAGUCUGACAUCUUUUUGUUGCUCCCUGCAAAUUUUUUCUUUUUCGUGUGCCAGUCCUUUCUGAAAAAAAUGCGACUUUAAUUAUAAAUUGUUAUAUAUUGUCUUUUGUAGUACUACUGAGCUAGAAAUCCAAACUUUACUGAGCAUCCAAAAUGAUCUUUUCACAUGCUUUAUGAACCUAGUCUCCUGCAGGGAACUGUAAUGAAGGGUCACAAGAUCCUUUUGUGUUGCUUUCUCUGUCUUCCUUUUACCAGAAUUUUCAUUUGUUUGCACAUUCCUUAUAUGAUAUGUAUUGUUAUGAAGCUUUCUGGGGCUUGUUUCUGAAACUUGAAGGAUUUUUUUUAGGCUUUUCCUUACCAUAAAUGUUAUUUUCAGGAUAAUAUCUCCUCGUAGAAGUGCCUGUGUUUUAUUUAUUGAGAUUUAAAACCAAAAUUUCCCCUUUCUCCCCUGACUUUAAGUAAAUGUAAGUUUGUACACACCAUUUUAAGUUAAGCAUGAGAGUUACAAUUGAAGGUAAUUUUAAGUUGAAUAUAAAUAAAGCUGUUAUUUUUUAAACAGACUGAUGCCCCAUCAUUUAUUUUUAGUAAUAGGUAAAACAAUAAACAUCCAUGUCUGACAUAGGUGUUUGGAAAACUUCAGAUUAUAAAAAAAAACGAUUAUUUAUUCUGCUUAAAGGGGUGGUUCACCUUUGAAUUAACUUUUAUAAUGAUGUAAAGGGUGAUAUUCUGAGACAAUCUGUAAAUGGUUUUCAUAUUUUAUUAUUUGUGGUUUUUGAGUUAUUUAGCUUUUUAUUCAGCAGCUCUCCAGUCUGCAAUUUCUGCAAUCUGGUUGGUAGGGUCCAAAUUACCCUAGCAACCAUGUUUUGAUUAUAUGUAAAUAUAAAUAGGAAUUGUCCUGAUCAGAAAGAGAAAUAAUAAAAAGAAGCAAUAUUAAUAAAUAAUUAGCUUUACAGAGCAGUUGUCAAUUAGAUGGGACCAGCAUUUGAGAACUGGGAAAAAUCAAUCAAAGAAGGAUUCUGUAAUAAAAAAUGACACUUUCAUAUCAGUAUUAAAGAGACCGUAAACACACCUUUUCAACAUAAAUGGAAAGGUGGGGAUACUCUGAGAACAUUUGCAAUUGGUUUUCAUUGCUUAUAUGAAAUAACAAUGUAAAAUGAGGGAAAACUUAAAAUCAGAGGAUGUAAAAAUCGAGGUUCUACUGUAAUUAUCUAUUCUAUAACAUACUAAAAUUUAGCUUAAAGCUGAACCACCCCUUUACUGAAUGUGCUGGACUUUUUAUCUAUUUUAAUUAAAAAGUACCUUAAUGGAAUGGAAUGAUAACCGAGGUCCUGUUUGUUGUUUCAUUUAUAGUUGGCAGAAGUUGUUAUAGGUGUAAACUUCCCCUGUAAGAAAUACAAAAGGGUUCCAACCUCUGAAUCCAAAACAUGGCUCUGUGCUUUGCUUGUGAUCUAAGCAGGUUCAUUGCGGAGGAAAAGCGAGAGCCGUGAUUCGUUCAUGCAGGUGGCGUCCGUUGCCAAAACAAAUUUCCUUGUUGACUGUAAACUGGCAACUGCGUGACCUCCCAACCACUUUGCACAAGACAGUCCUGAUUUUUGCCUUCUGCCCCAGAUUGCUCCUUAAACAGAAUCCCUGAAUUUCGUUAAAAGCAGCUGUUAGAAUUGAUACAAUAGUUACUAAU